ensembl:misc_RNA Metazoa_SRP Metazoan signal recognition particle RNA
GCUGGGUGUGGUGGCCAGCACCUGUAAUCCCAGCUACUUGGGAGGCUGAGGCAGGAGAAUCACUUGAACCCAGGAGGCAGAGGUUGCAGUGAGCUGAGAUCACACCACUGCACUCCAGCCUGGGUGACAGAGUGAGAUUCUGUCUCAA